rnacentral:lncRNA from 1 species
AGGAGGCCAUAAAUACUACUGUGCUUCAUCUCGAUAGUGAGAGGCUGCAAGAAAUCAAACUUGGCCAGCUUGCCGGAGAAAUUGGUGUCCAGCUUGCUCGUCGUUUAUAUCGGACCUUUCGUUGUAACCGUGAAAUCCAAACCCAUCAAUCUAGUACCAUAACACCUGGUAUCAGAUUCAAGUUCUCACCACCAACAACAACAACAACAUGCAAAUCUAGGUCCGCCGCCGCCACCGCCGAGCUCAACCGCCAUGACAUCCUCGCGAACAUACCCGACUACCUCAAGCGCCC